UUUAGCCUACGGGAGGCAGCAGUCGGGAAUAUUGCGCAAUGGAGGAAACUCUGACGCAGUGACGCCGCGUGCAGGAAGAAGGUUUUCGGAUUGUAAACUGCUUUAGACAGGGAAGAAACAAGACAGUACCUGUAGAAUAAGCUCCGGCUAACUACGUGCCAGCAGCCGCGGUAAUACGUAGGGAGCAAGCGUUAUCCGGAUUUAUUGGGUGUAAAGGGUGCGUAGACGGGAAAACAAGUUAGUUGUGAAAUCCCUCGGCUUAACUGAGGAACUGCAACUAAAACUAUUUUUCUUGAGUGUUGGAG
rnacentral:rRNA from 1 species